UUUCGCCUUUUACUAAAGAUUUCCG
rnacentral:piRNA from 3 species